CAAGGAUCUCAAGUUAACCAUUGUGGAGUGUUCCUCAAUAAUAGAGAUACUGAAGGCUGAAAGAAAUAAACUGCUGGAGAACAUCCAACACAUGCAGCAAGAGCUGAUCUCGAAUGGGUUGAGUUUCCCGUUGUGUAAAUUUAACAGCAAUAUUCCUGAAGAGAUGAAUUCACUGCAUUGUGAACUGGAGCUUGCACAGUCUUCUGAGAUUAUCAGGACUGAAUGGACAUCCCUGGAUGAAACACUGGACCGUGAAGUGCUGCUUUUGCUUCAGGGGCCUGAAUAUGCAGGAGAAAAAUUCAAGACUAUCAUGCAAAACCUGCAAGAGGAAGCCUCUGAAGCAGAGGAGCUUGUCAUGGUUUCAUUAGAAUGGGUAAAAGAUCCUGAUGAGGACAUGCAACAAGCAUGGGAAAGAAAACUUAUGGUGAGUGACUUUCUCUGAAGCAUUCAGUGAAAUGGUGGAGCUGUGAACAACUUCAGGUGG
rnacentral:lncRNA from 1 species